rnacentral:rRNA from 1 species
GACGAACCGUGCGAACGUUGUUCGGAAUCACUGGGCUUAAAGGGCGCGUAGGCGGACUGCCAAGUCCGGGGUGAAAUCUUUCGGCUCAACCGGAAAAUAGCCUCGGAGACUGGCGGUCUGGAGGGAGGUAGGGGCAGCUGGAACUUCCGGUGGAGCGGUGAAAUGCGUUGAUAUCGGAAGGAACGCCGGUGGCGAAAGCGAGCUGCUGGACCUUUUCUGACGCUGAGGCGCGAAAGCCAGGGGGGCAAACGGG